GAGCACAUGAAGCGAUCGGCUACAACCACGACUAUGCGAUCAGAUAUGGGAUCGAAAAUCGGAUCGUAUAAUCGGGCAGUUUUGCCAAAGUGCACCGUGGCCAUGGGGAGGAUUGAUGAGGAUGCGCCUGAGGAUUUUGAUGAAGGUGCUGCUGAUGUCAAGGGUGAAUUGCACCCUAGAAGCAGAAGCUAUGCUGUUAGAAAGAAAAGUGCUUUUGCGUUUUGAUUGUUGAUCGAGCGCAUCCAAUUAGGCGUCAGUCGAAUUCAAGACCUGCUGAUAUUUAGUUGUACAGUGAAGCCAACAAAUUACAAGAGGACCGACAAUUCUUUUGUGGUUUUGAUUCAAUUUAGAAGCGCUGUCAUCAUUGAAGCGGUUUUGUUUUGUAUAUAUGCAUUUUCCUUUCCUUUUCGUUCAUAUGAGAUUUGAACUCGCGAAUUUCUCUUUCAAUAGAAGUAAG
rnacentral:lncRNA from 1 species